ACCUUAAAGCUAGCCUGAACAACUACUAAACACAACAUCAUUAACUACAUCUACACUUCUAUUAUUAAAUUAAAUCAUUUUAUACCUUCUAGUAUGGGUGACAGAACAAAGACCUCAGCGCAAUAGACUAUGUACCGCAAGGGAAAGCUGAAAAAGAAAUGAAAUAAAUAAUUAAAGUACUGAAAAGCAGAGAUUAACACUCGUACCUUUCGCAUCAUGAUUUAGCUAGACUAACUGGGCAAAGAGAUCUUAAGUCCACCAUCCCGAAACUAAACGAGCUACUCCGGAGCAGUACACUAGAACCAACCCGUCUCUGUAGCAAAAGAGUGGGAAGACUUCCUGAGUAGCGGUGACAAACCUAUCGAGUUUAGUGAUAGCUGGUUACCCAAGAAAAGAACUUAAAUUCUGCAUUAAUUUAUCUUCUCGCCAACUAAGAACAUCUUCUUAAGGUGAAAAAUAAGAAUUAAUAGUUAUUUAGAAGAGGUACAGCCCUUCUAAAUUAAGACACAACUUUUAAAGGCGGGUAAUGAUCAUAUUUAUUAAAGUUUUUUCCUCAGUGGGCCUAAAAGCAGCCACCUGUUAAGUAAGCGUCACAGCUCCAGCUUCCCCUAAACUUAUAAUUUAGAUAUCACCUCAAAACCCCCUUACCUGUAUUGGGUUAUUUUAUAAACAUAAAAGAACUAAUGCUAAAAUGAGUAAUAAGAGGCUAAACCUCUCCACGACACAAGUGUACAUCAGAAAGAAUUAAAUCACUGAUAAUUAAACGGACCCGAACUGAGGGUAUAAUACUAAUACAACACAAACUAGAAAAUUUUAUUUUAUCACCCGUUAACCCCACACAGGAGUGUCCUAAGGAAAGAUUUAAAGAAAAUAAAGGAACUCGGCNAACAUAAACUCCGCCUGUUUNCCAAAAACAUCGCCUCUUGCUUUACUCCCAUAAGAGGUCCCGCCUGCCCUGUGACAAUGUUUAACGGCCGCGGUAUUUUGACCGUGCGAAGGUAGCAUAAUCACUUGUCUUUUAAAUGAAGACCUGUAUGAAAGGCAUCACGAGAGUCUAACUGUCUCUAUUUUCUAAUCAAUGAAAUUNNUCUUCUCGUGCAGAAGCGAGAAUACCACNAUAAGACGAGAAGACCCUANGGAGCUUUAAACGCUUAAAUCCAACUAUGUACAUCUACANCAUCNAAAGGUACAACUACCAAUACAAUAUUCCUGAUUUAACUGUUUUUGGUUGGGGUGACCAAGGGGAAAAGAAAAUCCCCCUUAUCGACUGAGUACUCAGUNCUUAAAAACUAGAGCAACAGCUCUAAUUGAUAGAACAUCUAUCGAAAAAUGACCCAGAAUUUUCUGAUCAAUGAACCAAGUUACCCUAGGGAUAACAGCGCAAUCCUUUCCCAGAGUCCCUAUCGCCGAAAGGGUUUACGACCUCGAUGUUGGAUCAGGACAUCCUAAUGGUGCAACCGCUAUUAAGGGUUCGUUUGUUCAACGAUUA
rnacentral:rRNA from 1 species